rnacentral:rRNA from 1 species
GAUGAACGCUGGCGGCGUGCCUAAUACAUGCAAGUCGAGCGAACAGACGAGGAGCUUGCUCCUCUGACGUUAGCGGCGGACGGGUGAGUAACACGUGGAUAACCUACCUAUAAGACUGGGAUAACUUCGGGAAACCGGAGCUAAUACCGGAUAAUAUAUUUAACCGCAUGGUUCAAUAGUGAAAGACGGUUUUGCUGUCACUUAUAGAUGGAUCCGCGCCGCAUUAGCUAGUUGGUAAGGUAACGGCUUACCAAGGCGACGAUGCGUAGCCGACCUGAGAGGGUGAUCGGCCACACUGGAACUGAGACACGGUCCAGACUCCUACGGGGGGCAGCAGUAGGGAAUCUUCCGCAAUGGGCGAAGGCCUGACGGAGCAACGCCGCGUGAGUGAUGAAGGUCUUCGGAUCGUAAACCUCUGUUAUUAGGGAAGAACAAAUGUGUAAGUAACUAUGCACGUCUUGACGGUACCUAAUCAGAAAGCCACGGCUAACUACGUG